rnacentral:rRNA from 1 species
AUUGAAUGCUGGCGGCAGGCCUAACACAUGCAAGUCGAGCGAGCGGCGGACGGGUGAGUAAUGUCUGGGAAACUGCCUGCUGGCGGGGGAUAACUACUGGCAACGGUAGCUAAUACCGCAUACCAUCAGAUUUCCCCCGAUGGAAUUAGCUUGUAGGUGGGGUAACGGCUCACCUAGGCGCCGAUCCCUAGCUGGUCUGAGAGGAUGACCAGCCACACUGGAACUGAGACACGGUCCAGACUCCUACGGGAGGCAGCAGUGGGGAAUAUUGCACAAUGGGCGCAAGCCUGAUGCAGCCAUGCCGCGUGUGUGAAGAAGGCCUUCGGGUUGUAAAGCACUUUCAGCGGGGAGGCGUUACCCGCAGAAGAAGCACCGGCUAACUCCGUGCCAGCAGCCGCGGUAAUUC